CGCGGCCUAUCAGCUUGUUGGUGGAGUAGUGGCCUACCAAAGCGACGACGGGUAGCCGGCCUGAGAGGGCGACCGGCCACACUGGGACUGAGACACGGCCCAGACUCCUACGGGAGGCAGCAGUGGGGAAUAUUGCACAAUGGGCGCAAGCCUGAUGCAGCGACGCCGCGUGAGGGAUGAAGGCCUUCGGGUUGUAAACCUCUUUCAGCAGGGAAGAAGCGCAAGUGACGGUACCUGCAGAAGAAGCGCCGGCUAACUACGUGCCAGCAGCCGCGGUAAUACGUAGGGCGCAAGCGUUGUCCGGAAUUAUUGGGCGUAAAGAGCUCGUAGGCGGUUUGUCGCGUCUGCUGUGAAAACUCGAGGCUCAACCUCGGGCUUGCAGUGGGUACGGGCAGACUAGAGUGCGGUAGGGGUGACUGGAAUUCCUGGUGUAGCGGUGGAAUGCGCAGAUAUCAGGAGGAACACCGAUGGCGAAGGCAGGUCACUGGGCCGCAACUGACGCUGAGGAGCGAAAGCAUGGGGAGCGAACAGGAUUAGAUACCCUGGUAGUCCAUGCCGUAAACGUUGGGCACUAGGUGUGGGGCUCAUUCCACGAGUUCCGUGCCGCAGCAAACGCAUUAAGUGCCCCGCCUGGGGAGUACGG
rnacentral:rRNA from 1 species